rnacentral:rRNA from 1 species
GGAAGGUCCGGGCGUUAUCCGGAUUUAUUGGGUUUAAAGGGAGCGUAGGCCGGAGAUUAAGCGUGUUGUGAAAUGUAGACGCUCAACGUCUGCACUGCAGCGCGAACUGGUUUCCUUGAGUACGCACAAAGUGGGCGGAAUUCGUGGUGUAGCGGUGAAAUGCUUAGAUAUCACGAAGAACUCCGAUUGCGAAGGCAGCUCACUGGAGCGCAACUGACGCUGAAGCUCGAAAGUGCGGGUAUCGAACAGGAUUAGAUACCCUGGUAGUCCGCACGGUAAACGAUGGAUGCCCGCUGUUGGUCUGAAUAGGUCAGCGGCCAAGCGAAAGCAUUAAGCAUCCCACCUGGGGAGUACGCCGGCAACGGUGAAACUCAAAGGAAUUGACGGAAGCCG